GAACAUUGAGUUGGGAAUUUCUCUAUCCACAGUGUGAUGGUCUCAUCUGGGAAUUAGAGAAGGACAACUUACAGAAAAAGAGCCUGAACCUAACAAAUGAGGAGAAGCAGAGGAGAGGAGCCACAGGAGAUGAAUGGAGACAGGAUUGCAAGGCUGGAUUUGCUGCUACUCAACCUUAUCCUUGUCAGUGUGGAAAAUGGCCUUGGAACUCACAUAGCAACUAGAUUGAAGGAAACUGUGCUUCUAAAUGACUUACAGGAGUGGAGCCACCCCUCCAUUUUGGAAUGCCCACCUCAAAAUGGUUAUGUGAAGACAAACAAAUCUUGGUCUAAAAUAAACACCCCACCCCUUGAAUGUUUUAGUAUGGCAGAUCUUUCAAUCAUAUACUAUACAAUUAAUUAAGAAUUAUUGACUUCAUUUUACAAGUUAGGAAAAGAAAGAUUUGUGGGGGUAAAUCACUAACAGUAGGGUUUUUCCAGACUCCUACUUGCUCCGCUACAGAAACAUAGGGAACCCUCUAGAAGGGGGGGAGGCAGAACAAAAUAGAGUGCACCUAGGACUAGAGAAUACUCAGCUACUACAUGAUCUAAGUCUCUUGAAUAUCUCCAUUUCUGGAUCCCAAAGGAGCAUCUUUUUGUCUAGCAGUUCUCCUCAAAGUUAGUUUUCCCAGAACAACCUGUUCUCAGUGUAAGAAAUUCAAAAAGAGCCAUGAGGUUAUAUGUUACAUGGCAUUCCCCAGCUUAU